rnacentral:rRNA from 1 species
CAGCCGCGUAAUUCCAGCUCCAAUAGCGUAUAUUAAAGUUGUUGCAGUUAAAAAGCUCGUAGUUGAAUUUCGGGAUCAAUAUGCUGGUCGUGCCAUUGGUACGUACUAGUAUUAUUGGUUUCUCCUUUCUGAUGAAUCAUGAUGUCAUUAAUUUGAUGUCAUGAGGAAUCAGGACUGUUACUUUGAAAAAAUUAGAGUGUUUAAAGCAGGCUCGCGCUUGAAUACAUUAGCAUGGAAUAAUGAAAUAGGAUGUUUGAUUCUAUUUUGUUGGUUUCUAGGAUUGACGUAAUGAUUAAUAGGGAUAGUUGGGGGCAUUAGUAUUCAAUUGUCAGAGGUGAAAUUCUUGGAUUUAUUGAAGACUAACUACUGCGAAAGCAUUUGCCAAGGAUGUUUUCAUUAAUCAAGAACGAAAGUUAGGGGAUCGAAGACGAUCAGAUACCGUCGUAGUCUUAACCAUAAACUAUGCCGACUAGGGAUCGGAUGAUGUUAAUUUUUUAAUGACUCAUUCGGCGCCUUACG